rnacentral:rRNA from 1 species
GGGGAAUUUUCCGCAAUGGGCGAAAGCCUGACGGAGCAAUACCGCGUGAGGGAAGAAUGCCCGUGGGUUGUAAACCUCUUUUAUUAGGGAAGAAAUAAUGACGGUACCUAAUGAAUAAGCAUCGGCUAACUCCGUGCCAGCAGCCGCGGUAAUACGGGGGAUGCAAGCGUUAUCCGGAAUCACUGGGCGUAAAGCGUCUGUAGGUGGUUCAGUAAGUCUGCUGUUAAAUAUUGGGGCUUAACCCUAACCAAGCAGUGGAAACUACUAAACUAGAGUAUGGUAUGGGUAGAGGGAAUUCCCAGUGUAGCGGUGAAAUGCGUAGAUAUUGGGAAGAACACCAGUAGCGAAGGCGCUCUGCUAGGCCAUUACUGACACUCAGAGACGAAAGCUAGGGUAGCG